UGAUGAGGUAGAGGUGCAGUGAGUCACAAGUAAUUUUAGUGAGCUAUUAAGAUUAGCUAUGAUCUAAAAUGAAAAGGACUAUUGCCGAAGUAUUAGAGAAAUCUUAAUUUCUAAUACUGGGUUAAUAUCUAAUAGGUAUUGGACUGCUUUUGAAGACAAAUGUCUUCGGGAGUGCGCUAUCUCAUAA
rnacentral:ncRNA from 1 species